GACGAACGCUGGCGGCGUGCCUAAUACAUGCAAGUAGAACGCUGAAGAGAGGAGCUUGCUCUUCUUGGAUGAGUUGCGAACGGGUGAGUAACGCGUAGGUAACCUGCCUUGUAGCGGGGGAUAACUAUUGGAAACGAUAGCUAAUACCGCAUAACAAUGGAUGACACAUUUCAUUUAUUUGAAAGGGGCAAUUGCUCCACUACAAGAUGGACCUGCGUUUUAUUAGCUAGUAGGUGAGGUAAUGGCUCACCUAGGCGACGAUACAUAGCCGACCUGAGAGGGUGAUCGGCCACACUGGGACUGGGACACGGCCCAGAAUCCUACGGGAGGCAGCAGUAGGGAAUCUUCGGCAAUGGGGGCAAACCUGACCGAGCAACGCCGCGUGAGUGAAGAAGGGUGUCGGAUCGUAAAGCUCUGUUGUAAGUCAAGAACGGGUGUGAGAGUGGAAAGUUCACACUGUGACGGUAGCUUAACAGAAAGGGACGGCUAACUACGUG
rnacentral:rRNA from 1 species